GACGAACGCUGGCGGCGCGCCUAACACAUGCAAGUCGAACGAGAGAUGAGGAGCUUGCUCUUCAAAUCGAGUGGCGAACGGGUGAGUAACGCGUGAGGAACCUGCCUCAAAGAGGGGGACAACAGUUGGAAACGACUGCUAAUACCGCAUAAGCCCACGGCUCGGCAUCGAGCAGAGGGAAAAGGAGCAAUCCGCUUUGAGAUGGCCUCGCGUCCGAUUAGCUAGUUGGUGAGGUAACGGCCCACCAAGGCGACGAUCGGUAGCCGGACUGAGAGGUUGAACGGCCACAUUGGGACUGAGACACGGCCCAGACUCCUACGGGAGGCAGCAGUGGGGAAUAUUGCACAAUGGGGGAAACCCUGAUGCAGCGACGCCGCGUGGAGGAAGAAGGUCUUCGGAUUGUAAACUCCUGUUGUUGAGGAAGAUAAUGACGGUACUCAACAAGGAAGUGGCGGCUAACUACGUGCCAGCAGCCGCGGUAAAACGUAGGUCACAAGCGUUGUCCGGAAUUACUGGGUGUAAAGGGAGCGCAGGCGGGAGAACAAGUUGGAAGUGAAAUCCAUGGGCUCAACCCAUGAACUGCUUUCAAAACUGUUUUUCUUGAGUAGUGCAGAGGUAGGCGGAAUUCCCGGUGUAGCGGUGGAAUGCGUAGAUAUCGGGAGGAACACCAGUGGCGAAGGCGGCCUACUGGGCACCAACUGACGCUGAGGCUCGAAAGUGUGGGUAGCAAACAGGAUUAGAUACCCUGGUAGUCCACACCGUAAACGAUGAUUACUAGGUGUUGGAGGAUUGACCCCUUCAGUGCCGCAGUUAACACAAUAAGUAAUCCACCUGGGGAGUACGACCGCAAGGUUGAAACUCAAAGGAAUUGACGGGGGCCCGCACAAGCAGUGGAGUAUGUGGUUUAAUUCGACGCAACGCGAAGAACCUUACCAAGUCUUGACAUCCCUUGACGAACAUAGAAAUAUGUUUUCUCUUCGGAGCAAGGAGACAGGUGGUGCAUGGUUGUCGUCAGCUCGUGUCGUGAGAUGUUGGGUUAAGUCCCGCAACGAGCGCAACCCUUAUGGUCAGUUACUACGCAAGAGGACUCUGGCCAGACUGCCGUUGACAAAACGGAGGAAGGUGGGGAUGACGUCAAAUCAUCAUGCCCUUUAUGACUUGGGCUACACACGUACUACAAUGGCGUUAAACAAAGAGAAGCAAGACCGCGAGGUGGAGCAAAACUCAGAAACAACGUCCCCGUUCGGACUGCAGGCUGCAACUCGCCUGCACGAAGUCGGAAUUGCUAGUAAUCGUGGAUCAGCAUGCCACGGUGAAUACGUUCCCGGGCCU
rnacentral:rRNA from 1 species